AUUGAACGCUGGCGGCAUGCUUUACACAUGCAAGUCGAACGGCAGCACGAAAGAGCUUGCUCUUUUGGUGGCGAGUGGCGAACGGGUGAGUAAUGCAUCGGAACGUACCGAGUAAUGGGGGAUAACUGUCCGAAAGGAUAGCUAAUACCGCAUACGCUUUGAGAAGGAAAGUGGGGGCGCUUCGGACCUCACGUUAUUCGAGCGGCCGAUGUCUGAUUAGCUAGUUGGUGGGGUAAAGGCCUACCAAGGCGACGAGCAGUAGCGGGUCUGAGAGGAUGGUCGGCCACACUGGGACUGAGACACGGCCCAGACUCCUACGGGAGGCAGCAGUGGGGAAUUUUGGACAAAGGGCGCAAGCCUGAUCCAGCCAUGCCGAGUGUGUGAAGAAGGCCUUCGGGUUGUAAAGGACUUUUGUUAGGGAAGAAAAGGAUAGUGUUAAUACCAUUAUCUGCUGACGGUACCUAAAGAAUAAGCACCGGCUAACUACGUG
rnacentral:rRNA from 1 species